GAUGAACGCUAGCGGCAGGCCUAAUACAUGCAAGUCGAACGGGAUCAGGGAGCUUGCUCCCUGUGAGAGUGGCGCACGGGUGCGUAAAACGUAUGCAGCCUACCUUCAACUGGGGGAUAGCCUUCCGAAAGGAAGAUUAAUACCGCAUAAAAUAAUUGAAUGGCAUCAUUUGAUUAUCAAACGUCAGGGUUGAAGAUGGGCAUGCGUCCGAUUAGCUAGUUGGGGGGGUAACGGCACACCCAGGCGACGAUCGGUAUGGGAUCUGAGAGGAUGACCCCCCACACUGGUACUGAGACACGGACCAGACUCCUACGGGAGGCAGCAGUGGGGAAUUUUGGACAAGGGGCGCAAGCCUGAUCCAGCCAUGCCGCGUGCGGGAAGAAGGCCUUCGGGUUGUAAACCGCUUUUGUCAGGGAAGAAACGCGCUGGGUUAAUACCUCGGCGUAAUGACGGUACCUGAAGAAUAAGCACCGGCUAACUACGUGCCAGCAGCCGCCGUAAUAC
rnacentral:rRNA from 1 species